rnacentral:rRNA from 1 species
CAAUAGCGUAUAUUUAAGUUGUUGCAGUUAAAAAGCUCGUAGUUGGAUUUCGGAUGGGACUUGCCGGUCCGUCGUUUCGAUGUGCACUGGCCAGUCCUAUCUUGUUGUCGGGGACUAGCUCCUGGGCUUCACUGUCCGGGACUAGGAGCUGACGAGGUUACUUUGAGUAAAUUAGAGUGUUCAAAGCAAGCCUACGCUCUGAAUACAUUAGCAUGGAAUAACACGAUAGGACUCUGGCUUAUCUUGUUGGUCUGUGAGACCAGAGUAAUGAUUAAGAGGGACAGUCGGGGGCAUUCGUAUUUCAUUGUCAGAGGUGAAAUUCUUGGAUUUAUGAAAGACGAACUUCUGCGAAAGCAUUUGUCAAGGAUGUUUUCAUUAG